rnacentral:rRNA from 1 species
AAAUUGAAGAGUUUGAUCAUGGCUCAGAUUGAACGCUGGCGGCAGGCCUAACACAUGCAAGUCGAACGGUAACAGGAAGCAGCUUGCUGCUUCGCUGACGAGUGGCGGACGGGUGAGUAAUGUCUGGGAAACUGCCUGAUGGAGGGGGAUAACUACUGGAAACGGUAGCUAAUACCGCAUAAUGUCGCAAGACCAAAGAGGGGGACCUUCGGGCCUCUUGCCAUCGGAUGUGCCCAGAUGGGAUUAGCUUGUUGGUGGGGUAACGGCUCACCAAGGCGACGAUCCCUAGCUGGUCUGAGAGGAUGACCAGCCACACUGGAACUGAGACACGGUCCAGACUCCU